rnacentral:rRNA from 1 species
UAGGGAAUCUUCGGCAAUGGGGGGAACCCUGACCGAGCAACGCCGCGUGAGUGAAGAAGGUUUUCGGAUCGUAAAGCUCUGUUGUUAAGGAAGAACGAGUGUGAGAAUGGAAAGUUCAUGCUGUGACGGUACUUAACCAGAAAGGGACGGCUAACUACGUGCCAGCAGCCGCGGUAAUACGUAGGUCCCGAGCGUUGUCCGGAUUUAUUGGGCGUAAAGCGAGCGCAGGCGGUUAGAAAAGUCUGAAGUGAAAGGCAGUGGCUCAACCAUUGUAGGCUUUGGAAACUGUUUAACUUGAGUGCAGAAGGGGAGAGUGGAAUUUCAUGUGUAGCGGUGAAAUGCGUAGAUAUAUGGAGGAACACCGGUGGCGAAAGCGGCUCUCUGGUCUGUAACUGACGCUGAGGCUCGAAAGCGUGGGGAGCGAACAGG